UACGUUUUAGACCGUUGCUGAUUCCAUUUUAUUGUUUUCAAGUUGCAGUCCAAUCAUGACAUCCUUUGCCAACCUAGUCUGCGCAGCUCUGGUGGUGACAAUAUGGGGCACUGUCUCAGCAACAAAAGAAAUCAAAGGAAAUACAUAUUUAUUUAAAAGCUAUUAUGGACUCGAAGUGUGGUUAGGUGAACCGACAAAAUCAGACGACGGAUGUAUGUGAACAAUACAAUUCACCUUCGGACGUCAAGGAUCACCACCACUGAUAGACGAAAACCUAGUCCUCUGCCAUAAAAGCUACGAUGAAAAAAGUAAAGGAGAAAACUACAUCGUAUCCAACGUGUUGUACAGUUCAAGACCUGAAGAAGUAAUUGUCAUCACACGCCUUGAUUUUUGUGUUAAGUACGUGAAUUUUAGUAAUGGAUAUGGAAGUGGACCCCAGGCACUUGAUGAUGACUCCUGUAAAAAAAUCAAAAAGAAGGUGAAAGGUGAUCGGUCCGAUGGGUUGGUCAAUAGAGCGAUGGCUAUGUUCAUGUCUCCUUCAAACCUCUCUGGCCUUAAAAGAAAGCCAGUCAAUGCGGGGACUACUCAAGCACAAAACACAAGAAAGGGGAUUUAAUUAACUGUUUACAGACAUCAGCAAAGUUUGUAGAUGUUUUGAGCAUACUAUUUGUCUUGUUUACAAUAAUAAAACUCA